UACGUAGGUGGCAAGCGUUGUCCGGAUUUACUGGGCGUAAAGAGCGCGCAGGCGGUCGAUUAAGUCGAGUGUGAAAGCCCCCCGGCUCAACUGGGGAGGGUCACUUGAUACUGGUCGACUCGAAGGCAGGAGAGGGAAGUGGAAUUCCCGGUGUAGUGGUGAAAUGCGUAGAUAUCGGGAGGAACACCAGUGGCGAAGGCGACUUCCUGGCCUGUUCUUGACGCUGAGGCGCGAAAAGCUAGGGGAGCAAACGGGG
rnacentral:rRNA from 1 species